ACUUCCAGCAGCACCAAGAAAGAGUCGCCGUCGCUGUCGUCCUCGGCGGGCGGCGGGCUUGGCCCGGAGGCCUCCCCGGGCCGCGCCCCGGGCCCGCCAUCUUCAGGGCCCCGCACCAGUAGCAGGCGGCGGCGCGCGGGGCUCGCGCCGAGCGGCGCUGGGGCUCGGCGGAGCGGGCCGGGGCCGCCGCCAUGUUGCCCUCCGCGCGCAGUCGGGGCGGGGAGCAGCGCCGGGAGGUCCAUCUUGGUCCCAGCGACGGCGUCGGAGCAGCUUCGGACGCAGAGCUGCCCGCGCCCCGCCCAGGUGUGCGUGCGCCGCCCCGGGACGCGAUCCGCGCCAAGCCCCGGCGUAGAGUCCGGCUCGGAACCGCGCGUGCGCGGACGCCGCCGGGCGAUGCGCGAGGCCUGCUGGGCUGACGUGACGCAUUGACUGCGUCCCAGGGGCUGUACCUGUCCGAGCUGAUUAAGCGUGCGCGGUCACCCAGGGGUGAGGAAACAGGGACGGCGAGCUCGAGUCACUCGGCAGCCGGCAGAUCCAGGAUUCGAACCUGUCCAACAGGCCGGACGCCUACCCCCAGCUCACUUAAGUGCAAGCUCGCCUGCCGCCGCUGGCGCACAGACCUCGUUUGCUUUGGCCCAGGUCCUUGCUCGGCACACGGGGCCUCCCUGAUACGCAGGACCCCUGCCUGUAUUUCCAACUGUAUUUCCUACUAAACUUGGCACAACCUCACUCUGCAACAGCUUAAUUACUUACUGUUUCCGGUCCUCACCCUCCCCCACCUCACCGUACACCUCCGCAUUCAAUCUGGACUCCUCCACUUCAACUUCACCACCACUCAGAUCCAAACCCGCACUUUAUUCCUGGGUACCUGAAAAAUAACUACUAGCUGGUCAUCGGUCUCCCUCCGCUCCACUCGCUCCCAUCCACGGGGCACCGUUUUAUGAUCUAAAAAUUGCACAUCAAAUUAUGCUCACCUCCACCUUGCUCCCGAAGGCGCCUAUGGCCUUGCUAGUCUACCCUCCCCUACCUGUUUGCCCUCACUUCCCGCCACUCUCCCGCUGCCCCCCCCACCCCUCCCCCGCACCCCACCUCUUUUUCCCAGUUCAUCCAGCAAGCCAAGCUGGUUCCAGCCUCAGAGACUUGGCGCAGCUGAUCUCUGAUUCCUCUGGGAGGACUCUGCGCCCCUUCUGAUCCAAAGCACAUGCUUACCCAGUCCCGUAUUCCCACCUCUGUCUGAUCUGUUUGCUCUUAGAGCUCUCAUCACCCGUUGUUUUGUUGAGUUCCUUCCCUGCUCCUUCACUGUCUCUCCCUCUCUGGAAUGUAGGCUCCUGGAGCCCAGGAACUGUGUCCUAUUCACUGUGUGUGCCCAGGAAGACUCUUGGUGCAUAUUUGUUAAAU
rnacentral:lncRNA from 1 species